ACACAAUGUUUUUAAAUUGCACAACCUUGGGGGAAUCUAAUAUAGACUUGUAUAAAAAGUAUGUGUGCUUGACCAAUGAUAUAUUAUCUGGUUGCCACUAGCCUUCUAAAGUGGGAAAUGGCUGUGCUGGAUAAAAGACAUUAAAUGUGUUUUCUGGAGUCUGUUUCUCCGUAGACCCACAGCUGAGGUCAAUGCAGAGCAGAAAUUUUCCAUCCCCUGGAGCAGCUUGCCAUGAACUUGAUUAUAUGACCAUAUAAUGGUGUAUCAGAUGUAUCUGUAGGUGUUGGAUUAAUAUGCAAAUACUGGAAGAUUAUGUUAUACCUCUUUUGGUCCUAUUUGCAGAGCUGGCUGCUUGCUCAUUUUACAGUGUUUUUUUAAUGUUGUUUUAUUUUAACAGUUCACAGUUUAGAGGUGGGGAAACCAUAAAGGCUAUUCCACCUCCCUUUUACAAGCUGAGGCCAGAAAAACACAGUAGAAUAUUAGAAAUACAAAUGACAAAGGCAGGAAUGAAAUCAUAAGCCACUUGCCAUCACACUCUCAGGGUGCUCAUGAUUCUGGGUGGGGAGGUGGCAGAGGGCGAGGCUUCUCUUAGGAAAGGCAGCUGCUGACGGAUCCAGAUUUGGGGGCUGGACAAAGUGCCUGGUGACUUUACAGGGUGACAGGUGACAGUGGUAGUAUGGGCAUAUGCAGUAGCGCUGAAAGGAAAGUUUGGUGACUAGCAAGCAAAAGAGGGAGCCAACAUUUUCAUCUCUCCUCAUUGCUCUCAAUGUAGUGUCACAGUGGAUUAACGGUGAAUUUCAGGCUCCAUUCCAGACAACACUGGGGUUCCUCAGAAGCCAAUGAAAAAGGUGGGCUAGGAGAGAGAUGCAAAGACAGGUUGACGGCUGAGGCACAAAACUGGCAGCAUCCCUUGGAUUUGGCGAAGGAGAGGCUCCAGGUGGAAAGAGGACUGUGGCCAACUCUCCAUGGACUUAAUGGUUGUUCAGAUGCCGGGAGAAAUGAUGAAUUCACUCUCCCUAUACAUUCAGAUCAACUUUGGACGCCCCCAUCUGGGAUCCUUCACCAUUUGAGCCCCUCUUUAUAUAUGCUCAGACCCCACCCCCACCAUCAGUUUUUGAGGAAGCCUUGCCUGAAAAGCUGACAACUCACAGAGAGACCUAUUAUAGCUUUAAUUACUUGAAGUCAACGCACAGGAGAGGAAGAUGUCGUCAUUUUAAGACUUUGCAUGUCUAAGUGCAUUGCCAGGAAGAAGUAGAAGAAAUGGAACGAAAAAGCUGCAAUGAUGAUUUAUACGUCUUGGCUUAAACUCAGGAGACUGCGGGAAGCCAUUUGUGCAAAAUGCGAAUGCAUGUAAAUUCAUCGCUCCACGCUGCAGUCACAUUGGCUCAAAUCCUUGUCACUCCAUCAUAGUUCCUGGAAGCAAUGCUGUCUCUUCUGGUUCUGUGCACUGCACCUCCCACCAGUAUCGUUUUAUCCUGGAUUCAAGAAUGCUUCUGUGACCUAUGGAGAGCUUCCGUUUCCUUCUGGUGUGCUCCCUCAACAAACCAGCUAUCCAUUCUCUCCGAUCAGAUGAGCAGAGAGAAGACUUGGCCAACACAGCAAGUGAAGGAAUCACUCUACAACACAGGAGCGAUGGCAAAAUGAAAGUGAAACCAAAAAGGAAACAUUCCAAGGCAUACACAGAGAAGGGCGUGAUCACAACCCACAGUGUAACAAGGCAAAGCAAAUGUUCCAUUUGUUUUUAAGCAAUCAAUAACUUGUGGUACAGUAGCUUGGUUUUAUUGGAAGAAGAGAUAGCUGCUUGGUUAUGAGAAAAGACGGUUCUACAUUUUGUAAUCACUGACUCAGGCACAGCAGCAUCACCUGAUAUUGCUCAUCUGGCACAUGGUGUACCCUGUGUGCAAUUCCAAUGCAGCACUCGAGAACAGUUUCCAAUAGCUCUGAAAAUUGGGUAGACUUGUGAUCCAAAAGCAAGAGGAGCUGCUGACAAAUAGUGACAGUAAAGUUACUGAUGUCAUCAUUAGGUUUGUUUUGCAUCAGCAGUCAGGCCAGCCAGAGAAGUAUUUUCCAAACUUGUCAUACUUCCUCACCACAAGGCAAGUA